rnacentral:rRNA from 1 species
UACGAAGGGUGCUAGCGUUGUUCGGAAUCACUGGGCGUAAAGGGUGCGUAGGCGGGUCUUUAAGUCAGGGGUGAAAUCCUGGAGCUCAACUCCAGAACUGCCUUUGAUACUGAAGAUCUUGAGUUCGGGAGAGGUGAGUGGAACUGCGAGUGUAGAGGUGAAAUUCGUAGAUAUUCGCAAGAACACCAGUGGCGAAGGCGGCUCACUGGCCCGAUACUGACGCUGAGGCACGAAAGCGUGGGGAGCAAACAGG